UUAAGCGACUAAGCGUACACGGUGGAUGCCCUGGCAGUCAGAGGCGAUGAAGGACGUGCUAAUCUGCGAAAAGCGUCGGUAAGGUGAUAUGAACCGUUACAGCCGGCGAUGUCCGAAUGGGGAAACCCAGUGCAAUUCGUUGCACUAUCGUUAACUGAAUACAUAGGUUAACGAGGCGAACCGGGGGAACUGAAACAUCUAAGUACCCCGAGGAAAAGAAAUCAACCGAGAUUCCCCCAGUAGCGGCGAGCGAACGGGGAGCAGCCCAGAGUCUGAAUCAGCUUGUGUGUUAGUGGAACGGUCUGGAAAGUCCGACGGUACAGGGUGAUAGUCCCGUACACCAAAAUGCACAGGUUGUGAACUCGAAGAGUAGGGCGGGACACGUGGUAUCCUGUCUGAAUAUGGGGGGACCAUCCUCCAAGGCUAAAUACUCCUGACUGACCGAUAGUGAACCAGUACCGUGAGGGAAAGGCGAAAAGAACCCCGGCGAGGGGAGUGAAAAAGAACCUGAAACCGUGUACGUACAAGCAGUGGGAGCACCCUUUAGGGUGUGACUGCGUACCUUUUGUAUAAUGGGUCAGCGACUUAUAUUCUGUAGCAAGGUUAACCGUAUAGGGGAGCCGCAGGGAAACCGAGUCUUAACUGGGCGUUAAGUUGCAGGGUAUAGACCCGAAACCCGGUGAUCUAGCCAUGGGCAGGUUGAAGGUUGGGUAACACUAACUGGAGGACCGAACCGACUAAUGUUGAAAAAUUAGCGGAUGACUUGUGGCUGGGGGUGAAAGGCCAAUCAAACCGGGAGAUAGCUGGUUCUCCCCGAAAGCUAUUUAGGUAGCGCCUCGUGAACUCAUCUUCGGGGGUAGAGCACUGUUUCGGCUAGGGGGUCAUCCCGACUUACCAACCCGAUGCAAACUACGAAUACCGAAGAAUGUUAUCACGGGAGACACACGGCGGGUGCUAACGUCCGUCGUGAAGAGGGAAACAACCCAGACCGCCAGCUAAGGUCCCAAAGUCACAGUUAAGUGGGAAACGAUGUGGGAAGGCACAGACAGCCAGGAUGUUGGCUUAGAAGCAGCCAUCAUUUAAAGAAAGCGUAAUAGCUCACUGGUCGAGUCGGCCUGCGCGGAAGAUGUAACGGGGCUAAACUGUGCACCGAAGCUGCGGCAGCGACACUAUGUGUUGUUGGGUAGGGGAGCGUUCUGUAAGCCUGCGAAGGUGGCCUGUGAGGGUUGCUGGAGGUAUCAGAAGUGCGAAUGCUGACAUAAGUAACGAUAAUGCGGGUGAAAAGCCCGCACGCCGGAAGACCAAGGGUUCCUGUCCAACGUUAAUCGGGGCAGGGUGAGUCGACCCCUAAGGCGAGGCCGAAAGGCGUAGUCGAUGGGAAACAGGUUAAUAUUCCUGUACUUGGUGUUACUGCGAAGGGGGGACGGAGAAGGCUAUGUUAGCCGGGCGACGGUUGUCCCGGUUUAAGCAUGUAGGCGGAGGUUCCAGGUAAAUCCGGUACCUUUUUAACGCUGAGGUGUGAUGACGAGGCACUACGGUGCUGAAGUAACAAAUGCCCUGCUUCCAGGAAAAGCCUCUAAGCAUCAGGUAACAUUAAAUCGUACCCCAAACCGACACAGGUGGUCAGGUAGAGAAUACCAAGGCGCUUGAGAGAACUCGGGUGAAGGAACUAGGCAAAAUGGUGCCGUAACUUCGGGAGAAGGCACGCUGAUAUGUAGGUGAAGCCCCUGCGGGUGGAGCUGAAAUCAGUCGAAGAUACCAGCUGGCUGCAACUGUUUAUUAAAAACACAGCACUGUGCAAACACGAAAGUGGACGUAUACGGUGUGACGCCUGCCCGGUGCCGGAAGGUUAAUUGAUGGGGUUAUCCGUAAGGAGAAGCUCUUGAUCGAAGCCCCGGUAAACGGCGGCCGUAACUAUAACGGUCCUAAGGUAGCGAAAUUCCUUGUCGGGUAAGUUCCGACCUGCACGAAUGGCGUAAUGAUGGCCAGGCUGUCUCCACCCGAGACUCAGUGAAAUUGAACUCGCUGUGAAGAUGCAGUGUACCCGCGGCAAGACGGAAAGACCCCGUGAACCUUUACUAUAGCUUGACACUGAACAUUGAGCCUUGAUGUGUAGGAUAGGUGGGAGGCUUUGAAGCGUGGACGCCAGUCUGCGUGGAGCCAACCUUGAAAUACCACCCUUUAAUGUUUGAUGUUCUAACGUUGGCCCCUUAUCGGGGUUGCGGACAGUGUCUGGUGGGUAGUUUGACUGGGGCGGUCUCCUCCCAAAGAGUAACGGAGGAGCACGAAGGUUAGCUAAUCCUGGUCGGACAUCAGGAGGUUAGUGCAAUGGCAUAAGCUAGCUUGACUGCGAGCGUGACGGCGCGAGCAGGUGCGAAAGCAGGUCAUAGUGAUCCGGUGGUUCUGAAUGGAAGGGCCAUCGCUCAACGGAUAAAAGGUACUCCGGGGAUAACAGGCUGAUACCGCCCAAGAGUUCAUAUCGACGGCGGUGUUUGGCACCUCGAUGUCGGCUCAUCACAUCCUGGGGCUGAAGUAGGUCCCAAGGGUAUGGCUGUUCGCCAUUUAAAGUGGUACGCGAGCUGGGUUUAGAACGUCGUGAGACAGUUCGGUCCCUAUCUGCCGUGGGCGCUGGAGAAUUGAGGGGGGCUGCUCCUAGUACGAGAGGACCGGAGUGGACGCAUCACUGGUGUUCGGGUUGUCAUGCCAAUGGCAUUGCCCGGUAGCUAAAUGCGGAAGAGAUAAGUGCUGAAAGCAUCUAAGCACGAAACUUGCCCCGAGAUGAGUUCUCCCUGAGACUUUAAGUCUCCUGAAGGAACGUUAAAGACGAUGACGUUGAUAGGUCGGGUGUGUAAGCGUAGCGAUACGUUGAGCUAACCGAUACUAAUGAACCGUGAGGCUUAACCUU
rnacentral:rRNA from 1 species